UACGUAGGGUGCAAGCGUUGUCCGGAAUUACUGGGCGUAAAGAGUUCGUAGGCGGUUUGUCGCGUCGUUUGUGAAAUCUCACAGCUCAACUGUGAGCUUGCAGGCGAUACGGGCAGACUUGAGUACUGCAGGGGAGACUGGAAUUCCUGGUGUAGCGGUGAAAUGCGCAGAUAUCAGGAGGAACACCGGUGGCGAAGGCGGGUCUCUGGGCAGUAACUGACGCUGAGGAGCGAAAGCGUGGGGAGCGAACAGG
rnacentral:rRNA from 1 species